rnacentral:lncRNA from 1 species
GUUACUGGUUAGUUCAUUGUUGUUAGUUCCUAAGAAGCAAUGGACAAAGACCCAGAGUCUGUGCUGGGGGCCUUGGAAGGCUCUAAACCCUGAGCAGCAGUUUACAGAAGAGGCGAACAAUAUGGAUAUGGAGACAAUCUCUGUAAGUCUUGCUAUGGAAGAAGGAGUUCUCAUGGGGCAAGAACUACUCCAGUUGUUCCCUUAAUGGGGUAGCCAGGGUAGCCUUCAGAGGAGGUAUCGUUUUCAGUUUUAACGUUAAAAAAAAAAAAAAAAAAAAAAGAAAGAAAAGAAAAAGGAAUCAGACAGGUGUAGCCUGAGUUCUCAGGAAGCUCUGAUAAGCAAGCAAAUGGUCACUGACGACAUCUCAAUGAGGGAGAUAAAGGGGAAAAUGUACUCCAGGGGGGCCUGGCUUGUGGUGCGCUGCGUUAUUGGUCACAGGAGCUGAAGUACAAAGUACAGAGGGUUGACAGAGCUUGGUGGCUUUUCUAGGUCACUGGCUUUGGGAAUGGGGGGCGCUGGGUUUCAAGCCAUCUCUGUGAAAUUCCAGUUGGGAGUGGUAAGGCAAGUUCUGUGAAUCCAAGGGCAAGCCACAGUUGUCAUCUGGAGUCUUGGAGCAGAGCCAACACACCUGCACUGUGAGGGUCCUUCCCACCCCUCCCCUCUCCAGGGAUCACCAGGGACUUCAGAGGAAGUAUUUGUUCUAAUCCUUUCUGGAAAUGGCCUUUGAUAUUUUCUUACUCUGUGUGUGUCUUACUCUGUGUGAUGAUCACCCUAGAAUUGACUUUUUUUUUCCUGUCUCUCUCUCUCUCUUGCCUGGCAAAUGAACUAAUAGCUUAGGAGGGGGAGUGGCUCUUGCCAAAUAAUAGAAAUAUUUCUCUUUCAGUUUAACCGUUGACCCAGCUUGCCAGGAAGCAUGAGACUUGGGAGUGCUCUCCUGUAGGAUCCAAGACUUCUCAUCUUUCCGAUGCGAACUGAAUUAUGCUAGCAUGUCAACCAGGACAUUUCAGAGAAGCAUCGGUGAGCAUAUCUCCUUGUACACAGAGGGAAAAUUCUGAAGUUGCUUAAAUGUGUUGGAAUAAUUUGUUCUCUCUCUAGUAACAGAAACGUGUUAGUAAACC